rnacentral:lncRNA from 1 species
AGGCCUUGUUUAGUUCCAAAAUUUUUUGCAAAAUCGACACUGUAGCACUUUCGUUUGUAUUUGACAAAAAUUAUCCAAUCAUGGACUAACUAGGCUCAAAAGAUUCGUCUCGUCAAUUUCGACCAAACUGUACAAUUAAUUUUUAUUUUCAUCUAUAUUUAAUACUCCAUGCAUGCGUCUAAAGAUUCGAUGUGACGGAGAAUCUGAAAAAUUUUGCAAAAUUUUUUGGGAACUAAACAAGGCCAAAGUACAAAAACUUUUCAAGAUUCCCCGUUACAUCGAAUAUUUAGACGCAUACAUGGAGUAUUAAAUAUAAACGAAAAUAAAAACUAAUUGCACAAUUUAGUCAAAAUUUACGAGACAAAUAUUUUGAGCUAGUUAGUUCAUGAUUGGACAAUAAUUACCACAAAGGCACAAACAAACGAAUGUGCUAUAAUGUCGCGAAAAAAUUUGAACUAAACAAGGCC